UUUGCAGACGUGCUGGUGUGAGGAGGACACAUGGAGGUCCACGACAACUACCUAACCAAGGCCCACCAGCCAGGAACAGUUCGAUCCGCCCUGACAGUGUUUGAGCCUUCUUGAAGUGGGCCGGGGACAAAAAGCAUGCACCAGCACCAACGGUGGAGGAAGCCGAUCGCACUAUCCAGGGCUUCCUGUCAGCCACCCGCGUCGCUCUGCCCUCGGCCGCCGCCCCGGAGCAGCAACCACAGCGUGAGGAAACGAUGUACGAUGAAACAGAUGGGCAUGAUUUCACGCAUCAUAGCGACA